rnacentral:rRNA from 1 species
GUCCACGCCCUAAACGAUGAUCACUCGAUGUGUGCGAUACACUGUACGCGUCUGAGCGAAAGCAUUAAGUGAUCCACCUGGGGAGUACGACCGCAAGGUUGAAACUCAAAGGAAUUGACGGGGGCCCGCACAAGCGGAGGAGCAUGUGGUUUAAUUCGAUGAUACGCGAGGAACCUUACCAGGGCUUGAAAGUUAGUGAAUGAUGUGGAAACAUGUCAGUCAGCAAUGACACGAAACUAGGUGCUGCAUGGCUGUCGU